UAAUACAGAGGGUGCAAACGUUGCUCGGAAUUAUUGGGCGUAAAGCGCAUGUAGGCGGUCUAGUAAGUCGGCUGUGAAAGCCCAUGGCUCAACCAUGGAAGUGCAGCCGAUACUGCUAAGACUAGAAUCCCGGAGAGGGUGGCGGAACUCCCAGUGUAGAGGUGAAAUUCGUAGAUAUUGGGAAGAACACCGGUGGCGAAGGCGGCCACCUGGACGGGUAUUGACGCUGAGAUGCGAGAGCGUGGGGAGCAAACAGGAUUAGAUACCCUGGUAGUCCACGCCGUAAACGUUGAACACUAGUUGUUGCGGGUAUUGACCCCUGCAGUGACGAAGCUAACGCAUUAAGUGUUCCGCCUGGGGACUACGGCCGCAAGGCUA
rnacentral:rRNA from 1 species